rnacentral:rRNA from 1 species
AAAGGUCGGAGCUUAACUCCGGUUCGGCAGUGGAAACUGGAGUGCUAGAGGGCGACAGGGGUAGAGGGAAUUCCCAGUGUACCGGUGAAAUGCGUAGAGAUUGGGAAGAACACCGGUGGCGAAAGCGCUCUACUGGGUCGCACCUGACCCUCAGGGACGAAAGCUAAGGUAGCGAAAGGGAUUAGAUACCCCUGUAGUCUUAGCCGUUAAACGAUGGAUACUAGGCGUGGCUUGUAUCGACCCAAGCCGUGCCGAAGCUAACGCGUUAAGUAUCCCGCCUGGGGAGUACGCACGCAAGUGUGAAACUCAAAGGAAUUGACGGGGGCCCGCACAAGCGGUGGAGGAUGUGGUUUAAUUCGAUGCAACGCGAAGAACCUUACCAGGGCUUGACAUCCCGCGAAUCUUGCUGAAAGGUGAGAGUGCCUUCGGGAGCGCGGAGACAGGUGGUGCAUGGCUGUCGUCAGCUCGUGUCGUGAGAUGUUGGGUUAAGUCCCGCAACGAGCGCAACCCUCGUCCUUAGUUGCCAGCAUUAAGUUGGGCACUCUAGGGAGACUGCCGGUGACAAACCGGAGGAAGGUGAGGAUGACGUCAAGUCAGCAUGCCCCUUAUGCUCUGGGCGACACACGUCCUACAAUGGUCGGGACAAAGGGGAGCAAGCUCGCGAGAGUAAGCGAAUCCCAGCAAACUCGGCCUCAGUUCAGAUUGCAGGCUGCAACUCGCCUGCAUGAAGGAGGAAUCGCUAGUAAUCGCAGGUCAGCAUACUGCGGUGAAUUCGUUCCCGGGCCUUGUACACACCGCCCGUCACACCAUGGAAGCUGGCCAAGCCACGAAGUCGUUACCCUAACCGUUUGGAGGGGGCGCCGAAGGCUGGGCUAGUGACUGGGGUGAA